UACGAAGGGGGCUAGCGUUGUUCGGAUUUACUGGGCGUAAAGGGCGCGUAGGCGGAUUUUUAAGUCAGGGGUGAAAUCCCAAGGCUCAACCUUGGAACUGCCUUUGAUACUGGCGAUCUUGAGUCCGGAAGAGGUGAGUGGAACUCCUAGUGUAGAGGUGGAAUUCGUAGAUAUUCGGAAGAACACCAGUGGCGAAGGCGACUCACUGGCAGCGUAGUGACGCUGAGGUGCGGAAAGCGAU
rnacentral:rRNA from 1 species